UACGUAGGUGGCGAGCGUUUUCCGGAAUUACUGGGUGUAAAGGGCGUGUAGGCGGGAAUGCAAGUUGGAUGUGAAAUUCCGGGGCUUAACCUCGGCGCUGCAUCCGAAACUGCAUUUCUUGAGUGCUGGAGAGGAAAGCGGAAUUCCUAGUGUAGCGGUGAAAUGCGUAGAUAUUAGGAGGAACACCAGUGGCGAAGGCGGCUUUCUGGACAGUAACUGACGCUGAGGCGCGAAAGCGUGGGGAGCAAACAGG
rnacentral:rRNA from 1 species